UACGUAGGGUGCAAGCGUUAAUCGGAAUUACUGGGCGUAAAGCGUGCGCAGGCGGUGAUGUAAGACAGAUGUGAAAUCCCCGGGCUCAACCUGGGAACUGCAUUUGUGACUGCAUCGCUGGAGUGCGGCAGAGGGGUAUGGAAUUCCGCGUGUAGCAGUGAAAUGCGUAGAUAUGCGGAGGAACACCGAUGGCGAAGGCAAUCCCCUGGGCCUGCACUGACGCUCAUGCACGAAAGCGUGGGGAGCAAACAGG
rnacentral:rRNA from 1 species